rnacentral:lncRNA from 1 species
GUGUAUAGAAGUUGAGAUGCAUGUCUUCAUUCUCUAUGUGCAUGGCACUCACCAUUACAGGAAGAAAAGGGUGGGAUUAGAAUAGAAAGCAACAACUCAUUUAGCUCUUUUACUUUAAUUGAAGGAUAAAAAAAAAAAGAGAGGCAGAGAAUCAGCACACAAUCACCAGUUACCCUUCAUCUCAAAGGCACAAUAAUUUGGCAAAGCUCAAGGAACAUAUGCUUUACAAUGUUCUUAGUUGCAUGUGAUUUAUUAUAUAGCAACAGUAAAGUAAAAGAGAUAUUAAAGGAAAAAAGAACCACGUUUCAAACUUGAAGUGGGAAUGCUUUAGUGCUAAGUGUAUUACAGUGAAUCUAUGUGAUCUUAUGGUUCAUCCCUUAUCCUCUUGUAAUUUUAGGAAAAAAAAAAAAAACUUGGAAGUCUAAAAGUAAGAAGAUCUUAGAAUGAGAUAAAGCAAUGAUUUGUUUCUUUCUAUAGCAAGAGUAUUUUUCUCAUACUGUAGCAAUCUAUUACUCCUACUCUUAGGUGGGCCCAUGGCUUGUUACUGCUCUCUUUUCUUAGUGCCAAAGGAAUGAUAAUUUCCCAAAAUACCCCCACAUAAGCUCCAUAAGCUGUGAAUUUAUAACUGCCAACAGCAACCCUGUUAUUCUAGAAAUCACAAAGUAGGACCCAAAAGUGAAAAUCCGUGGCAUCCACAUGAGCUGAGUUGAACAGACCAUUGGUUAAGAAAGAACAUUAAUCCCCAGGACCAAAUCCCACAAAAGCAUGGUCGGGUGACGUGGCAUGGCAGUCCAAGAGACUGGUAGGCCUGUUUCCAUAGAUAAAAGCAGAAAAUUAAGAUAGAGAGAUGUAAGGGAACAAUGCAAAUGAAAAGAAGAUACUUGGCUUCUCAAGGGUACUGUUCCUCCUCAAUCCCUUUAUUCAUCCUUAUCAGAUUCUUCCAUAACAGCCUUAAUCUGCUCAGAAAAUGCAGGCUUAUAAAUUGCUGAAUCUAAAAAUUCCUUUGAGGGCCUUCCCUGCUUUUUUGCUUUAACGCCUCCUAAAAAUCAAAUAAGUAACAGCCUUGUUAUAUCUACAGGGAUCGAACCUAAAGAAUACAAAGAUCACAAUCUCAUCUUUGCUUAUUCUCUCAUUACUCUUAAACAAAAAGAAGAUACUUGUGUUCUUCUUGCUUGUUUCAGAGCAGAAGCAAUGGUUUUUAGCUCUGUCAGAGUGAUUAUUCUUCUAAUCUGUGUGGGGUUCUUAGCAGUUCAACUAAAUAAAGUUGAUGGCUUGACGAGUGUAGAACUGGCCAUCAGACACAGCAAAAAUGCUCCAGUGACAGUGUCAUCCCAUCAACGUAUUCUUACAGAAUCCGCCAUGCAGAGUAUGAAAACAGAGAAGAAAGCAGCAAGUUUAAAGAAGAGAUUGGAUCCAUAUCGAUCAAGCAAAAGAAGAGUGAGAAAAGGAUCGGAUCCUAUCCACAACAGGUCCUGAUAACUUCAAAUUCUAGUUGUUUCUUCAGCCAAAGAAAUAGCUUCAAGCAGUGCAGAGAAAGUAGGUGGUUCAGAAUUGUAUUUGCAUUUUGAAGGAAAUUUGAUGAGAGUGGGCUUAUUGAUUUUGCUUUUUUCAUUUGUUAGGGUUUUAGCUGCAGAGAGAUGUUACAUUGUGUAUAUUAAAAUCAUUAGAGGAUAGUCGUUAGAUGCAUUCAGUGAGCCAGUAUCAUCUCUGUUCUUGGCGCAGACAUGAUGUGGCCUCCCAAAAAAAAAAAAAAUACACAAUUUUUUUUUGUCCUUCUUCUCUCCGUUUAUUCUUUCCUUGAAGAAUAAAUUUCACCCACUCUUAAUCUCUGCUUUAUUUUGGCUCAAUGCACAGAAACAGAAUCUAACUGGACAACCUUAUCAUUCACAUAGAUAUUAUCAUUUUUUGUUCCUUUACCAUGUAUUAGUCAUCUAGUUUGGAUUGAUUUUACAAUGUACUGGUGAUCUAGUUGUUCAUUUCUAUGUCAGAUCAUCCUAAUUCUCACCUACAACCCCCUCAAUGGGAUUGAUAAUAGAACAAACCAAUAUAGUUGUACCAAUGUCAAACAUACUCCACAAAUUUUAAAUUUUGAGAAUCUAUUUUAUGACUUGAAAAAUUAAAGUGGUUAGAUAAUUGAGAAAAUUUAAAAUUUGAUCUCUAACACUAUGCUAAAAUUUAUUUUAACGUUAGAAAAUAAUUUCUAAUACAGCAUCAAAAGUUUAACAAAAUUUUAGUACUGUGCUACAAUGUCAUGCCAUAUUUGACGUAACACUUUAGCAAUACUAUAUAUUUAUUUAUUUUUAUUAAUUUAUAAUAUAGUCUAAAACUUUAUAAUUUUUUUCAUAAAAACCAUUUCUUACUAUUACGUAUUUAAAAUUUUUUAAUUACGUCACUUUCGUAAUAUAUUAUAUUUUUAAUUUAUUUUAUAUUUUUAUAAUUAUAAAAAUUUAAUUUAAAUUAAUAUAUUUUCAAUUAUACAUAAUAUUUAUAAUAAAUUAAUUUAUUUAUAAUAUAUUAUAUAUAAUAAUUUGAGUGAUAAAUAUAUUAUAAUUGAAUGAUAUAUUUUUGAGUGAAAUAGAUAAAUAAAAUUAAAAUAAAAUAAAUAAUAUAAUAUUAAAAAAUAUAAAUAAAAUAUUUUUUUAUUUUUAAAAUAAUAUAGAAAAUUAAAAAUAAUAUUGUGUUAUUUUAAUAUUGUGCACCAAAAUAAUGUAAAAGAUAAUAGGUAGUGUUGAAAAUAGGCUUAUAAUUCAAAAUCGAUUCAUGGCCUUAUAACUCAAAAUCAAUUCAAAUAAGAACAAAAAAAAAUUGUCCACACGAAAUCUCAAAUUCGAAUUUCAAUCAAAACCAUCUAUAUUAUAAUAAUAAUAAUAAUAAUAAAAGUGAAGCUGAAACCGCCAACACCCAUUCAGAAAAAAACUCAUGUACUAUAAGUUAAAGAGUACUACGGGCCAAAACCAUCUAUAAUAAAAGUAGAGAAUUUUUAUAAAUGUCCAAAAAAAAACAACAAAGGAAUAGUGGGCUAAGGCUAAGUGAGUAAUCCAUAAAUGAAUAUUUUGAAUUGAUACUUAGCAAUUAGCAUACCUUUUUAUAUAUAAAGUUUAUUGUAAUCACAAUUUCUUUUAGAAUAACAACAAUUCAAAGGGGACUAUAGCUGGAUGCAUGCUUAUCUAUCCAACCUUAUUAUUAGUUUCUCCAAGCAAAACAUGAAAAUUCAUAUAUAUUAAUUUUGAAACUAACUUAAUUGAAUUUUUCAUUUUUUAAAAAAUUAAAUUAAAUUUAGUCGUUUCAAUUCUAAAAAUUUAUCUAUUUUUUACAUAAAUGUAAUUUUGUGGUGAUAAUAUCUCCGAUUUCACCAUAUGGAUCAUAGAUUAAGGUGGUAAGUUGCAUAAUCUGUAGGUCCACAUCAUUAAAGAAGGAGGGACCAUUAUAACUUGAGAGAGCUCCAACUAUGAGAAUUGGUAGUUUCUGCAGCAUUUGGGCCACUUGAGUCCCAGAAAUAUCAAGUAAUAAUAAGAGGAUUGAACAAGUGAAAGAUUUUUAAAAUUUUUUUUUUAUAUAAUUCUUCAUUUUCUUAAGAGAUGAAUGGGUUGAUUGAGUAAUGAACAUAUUGGGCAUGCUUUAUUGACAAUGACAUAAUUGUCUGAUCAUUGUUCUAAUCCAUUAACAAGUUUUUUGCCCAAAUUAUGUGGCUUAGACCUUAGGGUUUUGUCAUCUUCCUCCCUCCCUCCAAUUUGUCCUUUUUAAUUAUAACCCAUAAGCAUGCUCUAAUCUAUUGUCUUAUCAAUAGAUUUCACAAUUAAUGCCUUAUUUAUCUCUUGGGUUCUAUUAAGUCACGAUUGAAGAAAGAUUUUCUUUUAGCUAUUUAAAAAAAAUAAAAAAAAAUCAAAGUCUAAAAAUUAUCCUCUUUUUUUUUUAAAUCAUAAAAAAGACAAAAUACAUCACAUCUUUAAUUAUCACUAAUCUCUCUUAUUAUCCAUUGGCAUGUUUCUUUUUUCUUUUUUUUUUCCCUCACUUUCUUAUUAAUCAGUGAUAUUAAGCAAUCAGGCAUGCCUAACCCUUCACAUCAGCCUAACAUUUGUUCUUUCCAAGGAAAUUAAACAUCUUCUGAUAAUUCAGCUUACUUUGGAGUGUACCUUUUCAAAAGUUUAUUUAUUUAAUAAUAUUUUAAUUAUUUUUUUAAACUCAUAAAGUUUUUUUUUUUUUGGAAAACACUCAUAAAGUUUGUUAAAAUUAGGUAAAAAUAAAAUUCAAUCCAUUUAUAUUUAUUAUGUGUACGUUAAACAAAACAACUCAAUUUAAAACCCUCAACAACAUAUUCACUGAUUUGAUUCCUUUUUCAAUUACCAAUAUCAUAUCAUAGUUUUUAUUUUCCGAUAAGAUUUAAGAAAUUAAUCAUAUUUUUUUGUUUGACUAAUAUUAUAGCAGAUAAAUUAAUAAAAUGAGAUUUUUGGUAUUAUGUGUUUUUUUUACGACUUAAUUUUACUGCUAUUGCAGACUUAUAAUAAAAUAAAAGAAAUUAAAUUUUAAAAUUAUAAAUUAAAUCUAAAUCUUCUCUAAUUUUAAAAAGAAGAUAUCUUAAAAAAAGCUUAAUUUAUAAUCUUGUUUAGCAGGGUAAAUAGACUAAGGAAAUGGCACUUUUAAAAAAAUGUAAAAAUUUCUCUGAGUACAAUUUAAUAAGAUUUGUACUUUUCUAAUUAAAUUUACUAAUUUAUUUUUUAAUUUAUCACAUUUAAAAUUAUAUUGUGAAUAUUAUUAUCUUUUACUAUUUAAAAAUAAUUUUAUUUAUUAAGAAAUUAAUUUACCUAUCAAACACAAUUACACCGUACUUCUCGACUUAUAACUUAUUUAUACGCGAAUUUCAUAAAAUACAUAUUUCUCAAACCAAACAAAGCCUAUGGUUUACAUUUUCAGUUUAUAAUUUAUACACUUUUCAUGCAGCACCGGACAAAGAAAAUAGAGUUUAUUUUAUCAGUUUAGGAAUAUAUAGUAAUAUAACGUAUAUUUUAGAAGUAAAUUGUAUUCUUCUGUGCAUAAUUUUAUUUUAUUUUUUUAUAUUCAUUAAGAGAUAAAUUUUUAAUUUUAAAGGUGACCAGAGUUUCCUUUAUACUCUCCUUAGAUAGAAUGAAGGAGAUAGAGUGAAGAUGCGGAAGCUGCAGUCUCCUUAGAUAGAAUGAAGGAGAUAGAGUGAAGAUGCGGAAGCUGCAGUCUGAAAAGCCUCUCUAGUUAUAUUAACCACAAACUUCUUGGCUUUAAAGACGAUUAGAGUUUCUUUUAUACUCUUCCAUAAAUAGAGUAAAGUUUUGGAAAGUUUGAUGAAAUUUCGGAAUCUAAAAAGAAAAUAUCAUUCCGGUUAAAACUCAAAAUAACAAAAAAAAACAUAAAAAGAAAGAAAACAAAAAAAUAUCAACUUUCCGACAGUUAUGCAGAUUAGACAUAAUUAUAUAUUUCUAUCAUAUUUCUUUUUUACGGUCAGUUGAAAAAAAGCAAAUUUAGCUUAUUUGACUUAAUUUAAGGAAGUCAUUAUAGUAUUAAAAAACUCUCUUUAGGAGAGGUCGAUAUCUCAAUUAACCCAUAUCUUUUUUUUUAGCUUGACAACAAUAAAAUUUUUUGCUCAAUCUUUAGUCGAGUUCUUGUACCCGCAAAUAUAAAUGAAUCAGUUCGAAAAUCGAAAUAAUAAAAUCUAUGAAUAGACCUAUUAAGUUGAAAAUAAGUACAAAAUAAUUCGAUAGAAAGGGCAAAAGCCUAGCACAUAUAGACAGACUCAAAACGGCACAUGAAUAUAAUAGUCACCUAAAAUGAUAAAAAAUCUUGAUAAAGAAAGUAGUAAAAAGAUUGAUUAGUCUGUAUUAGAAAGGCUGUAUUUUAAUUCUAUUAGAGUCUAAUAUACGGAUUUAGACUAAACUGGUGGUAGCAUCUUAUAAUGUUCGGUAUCAUAUCCAAAUAGUACUGAAUAAAAUUAAAUAAUCACAAAAUGAAAUACUCACUUGAUGAUGUAAUAAAAAAAUUACAAGGUAUUGAAAAAUAUAAAAAAUAAAAAUUAAAAAUUAAAAACAAAUCAAACUUACUAAAACAUAAUUCGAAUCUAUUAAUUAUUAUUACUGUUAUUACUAUUACUAUUAUUAUUAUUAUUUUGCUAAGAAAUUGCACAGAGUUAACUCCUACAUGAAAAGGGAGAUGUUAAAGAGACAACCUCAGACUUAAUAUUCAAAGAGGGUUCCCUUACCUGCACGAGGAGGAGCAGCCGAACCUUAUCAAAAGUGGUAGAUAGAACCCACCACUUAUAGCCAAAAUCUCAAAAAUCAUGGCGGAAAAGAAUAGCCCAACUGCCCAAGCCCACAAGGACGAACACCUAGCGAAAGAGAGAGUGUUAAUUGAAACACAAACACAAAAAAAAUUCUAAUUUCUUCAUUCCC